AGAGUUUGAUCAUGGCUCAGAAUGAACGCUGGCGGCGUGCUUAACACAUGCAAGUCGAACGAGACCGGGGGGGCAACUCCUCGGUUUAGUGGCGGACGGGUGAGUAACACGUGGGUAACCUGCCCGGAAGUGGGGAAUACCUCGGGGAAACUCGAGCUAAUACCGCAUGACAUCUUCUAGACGAGAGUUCUGAAGAUCAAAGCGGGGUCGCAAGAUCUCGCGCUACCGGAUGGGCCCGCGCCCGAUUAGCUAGUUGGCGAGGUAAUGGCUCACCAAGGCUUCGAUCGGUAACCGGCCUGAGAGGGCGAUCGGUCACACCGGAACUGAGACACGGUCCGGACUCCUACGGGAGGCAGCAGUGGGGAAUCUUGCGCAAUGGGCGAAAGCCUGACGCAGCAACGCCGCGUGGAGGAUGAAGGCCCUUGGGUUGUAAACUCCUGUCGGUUGGGAAGAAAUCUAGCGGGGCUAAUACCUCCGCUAGUUGACUGUACCAGCAAAGGAAGCCCGGCUAACUCUGUGCCAGCAGCCGCGGUA
rnacentral:rRNA from 1 species